rnacentral:rRNA from 1 species
GUCUACGGCCGUGCCGUCCUGAACAAGCCUGAUCCUGUCUGAUCUUGGAAGCUAAGCAGGGUUAGGCCUGGUUAGUAUUUGUGUGCGAGACCACCUAGGAAGACUAGGUGCUGUAGGUG